UAUGGCUCAGACGAACGCUGGCGGCACGCUUAACACAUGCAAGUCGACGGGGUAUGGGAGCUUGCUCGUUAUACUUAGUGGCGGACGGGUGAGUAACACGUGGGAACAUGUCCUGUAGUGGUGGAUAGACUCCGGGAAACUGGAGGUAAUACAGCAUAAGCUCGAGAGAGGAAAGAGAGAUCGCUAUAGGGGUGGCCCGCGGCUGAUUAGGUAGUUGGUGGGGUAAAGGCCUACCAAGCCGAGGAUCAGUAGCUGGUCUGAGAGGAUGGACAGCCACACUGAAACUGAGACACGGUUCAGACUCCUACGGGAGGCAGCAGUGGGGAAUAUUGGACAAUGGGGGCAACCCUGAUCCAGCGAAUGCCGCGUGAGUGAAGAAGGUCUUAGGAUUGUAAAGCUCUUUUGACAGGGAAGAUGAUGACGGUACCUGUAGAAUAAGCACCGGCUAACUCUGUGCCAGCCGCCGC
rnacentral:rRNA from 1 species